CCUACGGGAGGCAGCAGUGAGGAAUAUUGGACAAUGGGCGCAAGCCUGAUCCAGCCAUGCCGCGUGCAGGAUGACGGUCCUAUGGAUUGUAAACUGCUUUUGUACAGGAAGAAACACUACUUCGUGAAGUAGCUUGACGGUACUGUAAGAAUAAGGAUCGGCUAACUCCGUGCCAGCAGCCGCGGUAAUACGGAGGAUCCAAGCGUUAUCCGGAAUCAUUGGGUUUAAAGGGUCCGUAGGCGGUUUAAUAAGCCAGUGGUGAAAGCCCAUCGCUCAACGGUGGAACGGCCAUUGAUACUGUUAGACUUGAAUUAUUUGGAAGUAACUAGAAUAUGUAGUGUAGCGGUGAAAUGCUUAGAUAUUACAUGGAAUACCAAUUGCGAAGGCAGGUUACUACAAAUGGAUUGACGCUGAUGGACGAAAGCGUGGGUAGCGAACAGGAUUAGAUACCCUGGUAGUCCACGCCGUAAACGAUGGAUACUAGCUGUUAGGGAGCAAUCUCAGUGGCUAAGCGAAAGUGAUAAGUAUCCCACCUGGGGAGUACGUUCGCAAGAAUGAAACUUAAAGAGUAGUAGCGUGAGAGAGACGACGACGACGACGAGGAGGGAGGAGG
rnacentral:rRNA from 1 species